UGGGAAUAUUGGACAAUGGGAGAAAUCCUGAUCCAGCUACCCCGCGUGAGUGAUGAAGGCCUUCGGGUCGUAAAGCUCUUUUAGGAGGGACGAAGGGAAACUUGACGGUACCUCCAGAAAAAGCACCGGCUAACUCUGUGCCAGCAGCCGCGGUAAUACAGAGGGUGCAAGCGUUGUUCGGAAUCAUUGGGCGUAAAGCGCGUGUAGGCGGCCAUCUCAGUCUGGUGUGAAAGCCCGGGGCUUAACCCCGGAAGUGCACUGGAUACUAGGUGGCUAGAGGGUAUGAGGGGAGAUUGGAAUUCAUGGUGUAGGGGUGAAAUCCGUAGAUAUCAUGAGGAACAUCAGUGGCGAAGGCGAAUCUCUGGCAUAUUUCUGACGCUGAGACGCGAAAGCGUGGGGAGCAAAC
rnacentral:rRNA from 1 species